UUUUGUGGUCAAGUUUUUAAGAGCACACGGUGGAUGCCUUGGCAUUAGGAGCCGAAGAAGGACGUAGGAAUCUGCGAUAAGCCUGGGGGAGUCGAUAACCGGACUGUGAUCCCAGGGUGUCCGAAUGGGGAAACCCCGCCAAGCGCGCGAGUGACUUGGUGACCCGCAUCUGAACACAUAGGGUGCGUGGAGGGAACGCGGGGAAGUGAAACAUCUCAGUACCCGCAGGAAGAGAAAACAAUAGUGAUUCCGUUAGUAGUGGCGAGCGAACGCGGAUCAGGCUAAACCGUUCCAUGUGUGAUAGCCGGCGGGCGUUGCAUGGUCGGGGUUGUGGGACUUUCCAUACCAGUUCUGCCGGGCUGGUGGGGUGUGAUGUGCGUGCAUAGGUGAACGGUUUUGAAAGGCCGGCCAGAGAGGGUGUUAGCCCCGUAACCGUAAUG
rnacentral:rRNA from 1 species